AGGACGAACGCUGGCGGCGUGCUUAACACAUGCAAGUCGAGCGAGGCCCUCUCUUCGGAGAGGUGCCCUAGCGGCGAACGGGUGAGUAACACGUGGGCAACCUGCCCCUAGCACUGGGAUAAGCCCGGGAAACCGGGUCUAAUACCGGAUAUGACCUUCAAGGGCAUCCUCGAAGGUGUAAAGGAUUCUGGCUAGGGAUGGGCCCGCGGCCUAUCAGCUUGUUGGUGGGUAACGGCCUACCAAGGCGACGACGGAUAGCUGGUCUGAGAGGACGAUCAGCCACACUGGGACUGAGACACGGCCCAGACUCCUACGGGAGGCAGCAGUGGGGAAUAUUGGACAAUGGGCGCAAGCCUGAUCCAGCCAUGCCGCGUGAGUGAUGAAGGCCCUAGGGUUGUAAAGCUCUUUUGUGCGGGAAGAUAAUGACGGUACCGCAAGAAUAAGCCCCGGCUAACUUCGUGCCAGCAGCCGC
rnacentral:rRNA from 1 species